UAAUAGCGUAUAUUAAAGUUGUUGCGGUUAAAAAGCUCGUAGUUGGAUUUCUGCUGAGGACGAUCGGUCCGCCCACUGGGUGAGUAUCUGGCUCGGCCUUGGCAUCUUCUUGGAGAACGUUGCUGCACUUGACUGUGUGGUGCGGUAUCCAGGACUUUUACUUUGAGGAAAUUAGAGUGUUUCAAGCAGGCGCACGCCUUGAAUACAUUAGCAUGGAAUAAUAAGAUAGGACCUUGGUUCUAUUUUGUUGGUUUCUAGAGCUGAGGUAAUGAUUAAUAGGGAUAGUUGGGGGCAUUCGUAUUUAACUGUCAGAGGUGAAAUUCUUGGAUUUGUCAAAGACGGACUACUGCGAAAGCAUUUGCCAAGGAUGUUUUCAUUGA
rnacentral:rRNA from 1 species